rnacentral:rRNA from 1 species
UACGUAGGGGGCAAGCGUUGUCCGGAUUCAUUGGGCGUAAGGAGCGUGUAGGCGGCCAGGUAGGUCGGUUGUGAAAACUGGAGGCUCAACCUUCAGAGGUCGACCGAAACCAUCUGGCUAGAGUCCGGGAGAGGAGAGUGGAAUUCCUGGUGUAGCGGUGAAAUGCGCAGAUAUCAGGAAGAACACCCGUGGCGAAAGCGGCUCUCUGGAACGGUACUGACGCUGAGACGCGAAAGCGUGGGGAGCAAACAGG